rnacentral:misc_RNA from 1 species
GUAGGUGAACCUGCGGAAGGAUCAUUCAUAAUAAAGUGUUUUAUGGCACUUUUUAAAAAUCCAUAUCCAUCUUGUGUGCAAUGUUAGAUCUCGUCAAUCUUGGCGAGAUUUUUAUACAUCAACUCAUUCUUUAACUAAUUUGUCUGAAAAAUAUUAUGAAUACUUAAUUCAAAAUACAACUUUCAACAACGGAUCUCUUGGCUCUC